GUAGCGCAAGGACAUGUGGAGCGCUUAGAAGUGAGAAUGCCGGUGUGAGUAGCGAAAGACGGGUGAGAAUCCCGUCCACCGAUUGACUAAGGUUUCCAGAGGAAGGCUCGUCCGCUCUGGGUUAGUCGGGUCCUAAGCUGAGGCCGACAGGCGUAGGCGAUGGAUAACAGGUUGAUAUUCCUGUACCACCUAGUAUCGUUUUAAUCGAUGGGGGGACGCAGUAGGAUAGGCGAAGCGUGCUGUUGGAGUGCACGUCCAAGCAGUAAGGCUGAGUGUUAGGCAAAUCCGGCACUCAUAAGGCUGAGCUGUGAUGGGGAGAGGAAAUUGUUUCCUCGAGUCGUUGAUUUCACACUGCCGAGAAAAGCCUCUAGAUAGAUAACAGGUGCCCGUACCGCAAACCGACACAGGUAGUCAAGAUGAGAAUUCUAAGGUGAGCGAGCGAACUCUCGUUAAGGAACUCGGCAAAAUGACCCCGUAACUUCGGGAGAAGGGGUGCUCUUUAGGGUUCACGCCCAGAAGAGCCGCAGUGAAUAGGCCCAAGCGACUGUUUAUCAAAAACACAGGUCUCUGCUAAACCGUAAGGUGAUGUAUAGGGGCUGACGCCUGCCCGGUGCUGGAAGGUUAAGAGGAGUGGUUAGCUUCUGCGAAGCUACGAAUCGAAGCCCCAGUAAACGGCGGCCGUAACUAUAACGGUCCUAAGGUAGCGAAAUUCCUUGUCGGGUAAGUUCCGACCCGCACGAAAGGCGUAACGAUUUGGGCACUGUCUCAACGAGAGACUCGGUGAAAUCAUAGUACCUGUGAAGAUGCAGGUUACCCGCGACAGGACGGAAAGACCCCGUGGAGCUUUACUGUAGCCUGAUAUUGAAAUUCGGCACAGCUUGUACAGGAUAGGUAGGAGCCUUUGAAACGUGAGCGCUAGCUUACGUGGAGGCGUUGGUGGGAUACUACCCUAGCUGUGUUGGCUUUCUAACCCGCACCACUUAUCGUGGUGGGAGACAGUGUCAGGCGGGCAGUUUGACUGGGGCGGUCGCCUCCUAAAAGGUAACGGAGGCGCUCAAAGGUUCCCUCAGAAUGGUUGGAAAUCAUUCAUAGAGUGUAAAGGCAUAAGGGAGCUUGACUGCGAGACCUACAAGUCGAGCAGGGUCGAAAGACGGACUUAGUGAUCCGGUGGUUCCGCAUGGAAGGGCCAUCGCUCAACGGAUAAAAGCUACCCCGGGGAUAACAGGCUUAUCUCCCCCAAGAGUUCACAUCGACGGGGAGGUUUGGCACCUCGAUGUCGGCUCAUCGCAUCCUGGGGCUGUAGUCGGUCCCAAGGGUUGGGCUGUUCGCCCAUUAAAGCGGUACGCGAGCUGGGUUCAGAACGUCGUGAGACAGUUCGGUCCCUAUCCGUCGUGGGCGUAGGAAAUUUGAGAGGAGCUGUCCUUAGUACGAGAGGACCGGGAUGGACAUACCUCUGGUGUACCAGUUGUCGUGCCAACGGCAUAGCUGGGUAGCUAUGUAUGGACGGGAUAAGUGCUGAAAGCAUCUAAGCAUGAAGCCCCCCUCAAGAUGAGAUUUCCCAACUUCGGUUAUAAGAUCCCUCGAAGAUGACGAGGUUAAUAGGUUCGAGGUGGAAGCGUGGUGACACGUGGAGCUGACGAAUACUAAUCGAUCGAAGACUUAAUCAA
rnacentral:rRNA from 1 species